UGUUUGAUGUUCUAACGUGGACCCGUGAUCCGGGUUGCGGACAGUGUCUGGUGGGUAGUUUGACUGGGGCGGUCUCCUCCUAAAGAGUAACGGAGGAGCACGAAGGUUGGCUAAUCCUGGUCGGACAUCAGGAGGUUAGUGCAAUGGCAUAAGCCAGCUUGACUGCGAGCGUGACGGCGCGAGCAGGUGCGAAAGCAGGUCAUAGUGAUCCGGUGGUUCUGAAUGGAAGGGCCAUCGCUCAACGGAUAAAAGGUACUCCGGGGAUAACAGGCUGAUACCGCCCAAGAGUUCAUAUCGACGGCGGUGUUUGGCACCUCGAUGUCGGCUCAUCACAUCCUGGGGCUGAAGUAGGUCCCAAGGGUAUGGCUGUUCGCCAUUUAAAGUGGUACGCGAGCUGGGUUUAGAACGUCGUGAGACAGUUCGGUCCCUAUCUGCCGUGGGCGCUGGAGAACUGAGGGGGGCUGC
rnacentral:rRNA from 1 species